GAGAGAACUCUUAACAGCUCACUUCUUCCACUUCACCACCUUCUUGUAGGAGCUAUUAUCUACCAGACAUUUGGCACUUAGCCAAGAAUAACUGUCUUCCUAUCAAUAAUUUCAUUAUGGACAACUUCUGCUAUUUUUGCCCACCCCCCCCCCCAAAUCAUAGAGCAUCAGCUAUAAGUGUGAAACAACUGUGACCACAGCCUGUGGCAGUGUUUCCUUGGAACACUGGUUCAUUAGUGACUUAUGGGAUAAAGUUGUAGACACAAAGUUUAGUUUCUUCUGGAAAUUCAUACUGUAUAGUUAGCAUGCAUACCUUUAAAUGAACAUGGAAUUCCCACUUCAUCUUUUUUGUUUCUUCUUAAAAUAUUUCAUAGAAUCCUUUGAAAAAUACCAGCCUUCCCCUUUUGAGAUUCUAAACUGAUCUGCCAGCAUGCCAUGGCUUUUGUUAACUUCCAGCCAGGUCUUGCCCACCAUACUCCUGAAGGUGGUGUGCUAAUCCCUGAUUCCAAGCUUUACUCAUACCCUAUACUUCUCUUCUGAGCUGUCAAUUUAAGUUCUUUGCCCUUUUAAGAUUUUUCCCAACACUUUUCAUACACUAUUAUUUGCAAGUGCCUCAUUUUAGCAUUUAGUUACAUAUUAUGCCAUUUAGUCAGUAAACUUACACCUCCUUCAGAUGCACUGCUUUGUAUAGCACUUACAUGUAGUCAGGGUUUAAUAAAUGAACAGUCAUUGCCAAGGCUAUUAGAGCUUGGGAGAUAAGAACUCCCAAUUAUGAUUCAAGAAUACACAGGAACACUGUGCUCAAAGAAUUGCAUGGAUGAAAAUUGGAAGUGUCAUUUGUUAACAAAUGGAUGUGGCUCUUAGGUGUAUUUGCAUAAGUAUAUUUAAAACUAGGUAAUUGGUCAUAUAUCAGAAGUUUGCACUAAAUGACCAAAGGAAACUUUGUAUUUUAUGGUUAACAAUGUUUCUUAAUGUUAGCAAAUACAAUGAACAGCCCUAAUUUUCUAACUU